GUUUUGUUAUUCAGCACACUUAAAAUGUAUGUCUACCAAUCACUAUAAAUUGAAGUGGAAAGUUAGCAGUAAACAGAAACACUAUAUUUAAAAUAUUUUAAACACUUCACAGAAAGCAGAAGCUUCAUCUCCAGUCCCUUACCUUUCGCCUGAAACAAACCCAGCAUCAUCAACCUCUGCCGUUAAUCAUAAUGUAAAUUUAACUAAUGUGAGACUGGAGGAGCCCACCCCAGCUCCUUCCACCUCUUACUCACCACGAGCUGAUUGUUUAAGAACACCGAGUACUGAGGCAGCUAACAUAGUGCUAAGAGGCCAAGAACCAUCAUUGUCGCCGCAUGUAGACCCAGCAAAGGUGUAUAGAAAGGAUCCAUAUCCCGAGGAAAUGAUGAGGCAGAACCAUGUUUUGAAACAGCCAGCCGUUAGUCACCCAGGGCACAGGCCAGACAAAGAGCCUAAUCUGACCUAUGAACCCCAACUCCCAUACGUAGAGAAACAAGCCAGCAGAGACCUCGAGCAGCCCACAUACAGAUACGAGUCCUCAAGCUAUACGGACCAGUUUUCUCGAAACUAUGAACAUCGUCUGCGAUACGAAGAUCGC
rnacentral:sRNA from 1 species